GACGAACGCUAGCGGCGUGCCUAAUACAUGCAAGUAGAACGCACAGUUUAUACCGUAGCUUGCUACACCAUAGACUGUGAGUUGCGAACGGGUGAGUAACGCGUAGGUAACCUGCCUGGUAGCGGGGGAUAACUAUUGGAAACGAUAGCUAAUACCGCAUAAUAUUGAUUAUUGCAUGAUAAUUGAUUGAAAGAUGCUAUUGCAUCACUACCAGAUGGACCUGCGUUGUAUUAGCUAGUAGGUGAGGUAACGGCUCACCUAGGCGACGAUACAUAGCCGACCUGAGAGGGUGAUCGGCCACACUGGGACUGAGACACGGCCCAGACUCCUACGGGAGGCAGCAGUAGGGAAUCUUCGGCAAUGGACGAAAGUCUGACCGAGCAACGCCGCGUGAGGGAAGAAGGGUUUCGGAUCGUAAAGCUCUGUUGUAAGAGAAGAACGGGUGUGAGAGUGGAAAGUUCACACUGUGACGGUAUCUUACCAGAAAGGGACGGCUAACUACGUG
rnacentral:rRNA from 1 species